UCUGCAUUUCCACACGCCGCUUAAGCGACGAAAACCCUAGAUCUGCACCCCUGGUCGCCGAUUCUACCACCAAAUCGGAGAAAAAGUCGCCAUAGACUGGCGUCUACGACCACACCCACACCCACACCCACACCCACCAAAAUCGGCGACACGUUAUCUUCUAAUCGGUUCUGCCAUUGCAAAAUCAGGGCUAGCGCACGAAACUUACACACUCCAGCGACAACGGAAGCGUUUCACACAACGUUGAAAUCAUAUUUUCGACCAACCGAAGAAGGAAGCAAUUUUAGGAGCAAAAAUAGGUUGCUAUCGACUAUUCAAGGUAAAGAGGAUGAACAUAGGGGUUCUCAAUAUCUGGCUGUGAGCCUACAACAGAUACAACAACAUAUCACAAAGGAGGUCGACAAACCUACAAAAAUUAGGGCGAAAUGUUCUGGUCGAAGAUUGGAAAUUUUAAUUCGCUCCAAAUUCGCAGAAUAUUCAAUGGAUCAACAGACCUUAGGAAUCAUCUUAAGCACUUUCAAGAAGCAUGGAAACCAAAGAACACAUAUUGCAUGGAAAACAGGAAUAUGAGGGAGAAAAAGAUAAAAAUUACUCCUCUGCAGAGCAGUUUUAUUAUUCCAGUCAAUGAAUGCAGCAACAUUUUUUGCAUGAAUCAUCUUAAACAAUUUCAAGAAGCAUGGAAAUCAAAGAACAUGUAUUGAAUGGGAAACUGGAAUAAGAGAUGAGUGUAUACAUUUUACGUAUAAUCAAAUUCAGAAAAUACAGAAAAACUAAUGAAUCUCCAUUCUGAAAUUCAAAUGCAGGGAGAAAAAGAAAAAAUAACUCCGCUGCAAAGCAGUGCAAAGUCUCAAGAAUAGCACAAACGGAAGGAAUGGCAGAUUGAAGGUAAGAAUACUAAAUUAAUCAUGCAUAGUGCUGAACACAGCAACAAAAUGAAAAAACUGAAACAAAAUAAAUGAAAGAAAAAGAGAGUGAGCAUUUACAAUAGAAAAUGAGUAUUGUACAACGCUCGAAGCUGUCACCCAUAAAGCUUGACUAUAAUUUCUUAUUUCAAAUUCUUUUUCAGUGUGAAUAAUAGUAAAUGUUGGACACUCAAAUAUUUUUACAUUGCAACGGAGGACCAUUUCCUCCAUAACCUUUCGUUUCAUGCGGUUUGCAUUCAUGUACAACAAUGCAUGAAAAAAUAACUAAUAGACAAAAUAUCUUUCUUGAAUGAGACAUUGAACUUGGAAUAACUAAAUUUAAUAAUGUAUUCCUAUGCUCGAUUUGAAGGGAGUAUAUAUAACAGAAAAAAAUCAAAUUAAAUUAGUAUCAUUAAUUAGUCAUUUCUCUUACUCUUGUAAUAAAACAUGAGUGUGUAGCGUUACUUAGAGUUGGAGUUAGAAAACCGAUUACGAUUUAAUGCAAUCGAGAUUUUUGUACUAGUAUAAUUUUUGAUAGAUUCUUAAAUGUGUUUAAUUUAUGUGUUGAUCACGGCCGUUAAAUAAAUCUUAAUGAUUUUUAUUUUAA